rnacentral:rRNA from 1 species
UACGUAGGGUGCAAGCGUUAAUCGGAAUUACUGGGCGUAAAGCGUGCGCAGGCGGUGAUGUAAGACAGUUGUGAAAUCCCCGGGCUCAACCUGGGAACUGCAUCUGUGACUGCAUCGCUGGAGUGCGGCAGAGGGGGAUGGAAUUCCGCGUGUAGCAGUGAAAUGCGUAGAUAUCGGAAGGAACACCGAUGGCGAAAGCAGCGCGCUGGACCUCUACUGACGCUGAGGCGCGAAAGCCAGGGGAGCAAACAGG